rnacentral:lncRNA from 1 species
AAAUAGUGUUGAUUUGUGACAAAGUUUAACAUUGGAAGUACAAGGUAGACUGGUAGUAAUGAUAGUGGCUCUACCCCUACUUCUUCCAUUGAGGUUUGUCAUUUGGGUAAUUUCAUAAAAAAUAAUAUUUCUGUAUUUUCUACUUUUCUUGAAUUUAUUGGUUGAUACUUUUUGGUAGGAUUGUAUAAGGAUCAUGUUUUAUUUAGGAUACCCAUUAGAAAUAAGCCUUCUGGAGUGUUUUACCUUUCUAAGCAUCUUAAUUUUGAUAAUAAUGAUUGAGAAGCCUGAAACUUUAUUUUAAGUGCAGUAAAUUGGUUGAUAUGUCGUUUGUAUAUAUAAAUUUUGGACCCAAAUGAAGAUAUAUUAUGUGCUACUCAAAUGAAAAUACAUUCUCCGCUUAUUUAUCAUCAUUUAAAGUCUUUCAAGGAUCUAUUUAUCUUUCUUCUUAAAUAUUUUGCCUUUGUUCUAUUUUCUAGAUAUAUUGAUUUAUUAUUUAAAAGAAAAAAACUAAUUUGAUAUAUGUCUUCUAAAUACGUGUCCAAUUUAAAUAAGUAACCUCUACCUGUGAUCCUUCAUCCAUUUAAACUCAUUAUUUCAUAACUCAAUUACUUCCAUAUUCAUCCUUUUUGAUUGCUCGUUAUUUUAAUUCGCUUCUAAUGUGUUCCUUUGUUAUUCAAGUCUACUGCUUGACUUUUGAGGUUUUGGUUCUCAUACCCACGUUUCAAAAGAUUUAUUUUUUGGAUUGACAUUGCUGCAUUCAUUGAUAUGGAUUUAGAAGUUUCACCUUUUCAUCACUUUUCAACAUGAUCAAAGGGCCAUGAGCCCAUGAGAGUCUCGUAAGGUUUAAUUGAUACAACCUUUUAUUUUUCUUAUUGGUUGGUAUGUAUAUAUUUUGCUGCUUCUUGCAUUUCUUUGUUAGUUUACACCAGUCAAUCAUUACAAAUUUGUGAAUGGAUAUUUCCUAAGAUCUCUACACAGAGUUUCUUGCUCUUUAGUUAUCCUAAUUAUGAGUUUAUGUUUUGAUGUUAAGCAAUAUUCUAGAUUCCAUCUUUGGUAUGACUUUGCGUUUAUUGGAUUUUCUUUUUGGUUGUUUAUUUUUUGUAUUUAUAGUUUAAGUUGCGUAACUGUGUAAGAAUGUGUGUUUUAUGCAUGUUAGAAUUGGAUACAUUCAUUAUUAUGCUAUUCAAAUUUGGUACAAAUUUUUUGCACUUCAAUUAGUGUUUUAUCUCAUGUGUCUCUGUAUUAAAUUUCUUCUUUUUCACUUUUUAUAUCAGGUUUUGAGAGAGUAUGAGUCGCUAGGGGUACUCCGGUGAAAUUUUUACUCUUUGUCAUUUUCCAUUCCAUUUGGAUUUCAUAGUGUUCGUUUUCAAAUUAGAUAUUCGGUUUUGGCAAGGUAUGAGUUUAAGCAUAUGGAUUUGGGUGAAACUUUUAUAUCUUCUUCUUCUUCCUCCUCCUCCUCCUUACCGUUUGGAUGCCACAAUAUUUUUUUGAAAGUGAUUUGUAAGAGACAAAGAUUGAAAAAAGGAAAACUGAGAUAAUUAUGUUUGUAUGAUUAUUGAAAAGAUAGAAAGUACAAUCAAUAAGAGUUAUCACUCUCUUCACCUUUCCUUCUUAAGGUAAUAAUCCAAAUAGUGACUAACUACAAAAAAAUUGGAUGAAGAAAGAAAAAAUAAAAGAAGGAUACGAAGUGGGAGGGAGGGGUGCAAAAGAAUCCAAACAGGAUUUCAAAGAUAAUAGAUCGAAUACUUAAAGUGAAAAAAGACGUAGGUUUCUUAUGAUGUUCAGCAGUAGUAUAUAAGCCUUGAUAGAAACGUAGAAAACACAUUUUUUCAGUCUAUUUCUCAAAACAUU